rnacentral:lncRNA from 1 species
AACAAAUACCUGAUAGAUCUAAAGAAAGAAUUUUUACAAGAAAUGAAGAUUGAUUGUAAUCUAAUAUUGCUAAGCCUAAUCCAAAGCCAUGAUAUACAAAAUGAUUCAAUAAUACUUGGUGAAACUUGCAGGAUGGAUGUGUCAGAGUAUGACAAUGAAUAAGUUCUCCCUGAGCAUAGGCUCUCAAAUGCUUUAUUUCAGCAGUAGACUAUUCUAUUACAAAAUAUCAGAGCAAGUGUUUGAAAUGCCUCUCAAUAAAAGCAGCAUAAGUUUUAUAGUGCCAUACCAUGGACUGUUGAACACACUAAAAAAUGCCAGAGCUAUGACAAAUCUCAUCACAUUCACAUCAUUGUUGUGAGUACCUUUCUUGGUACAGAUGCAGGGCUUCACUGCUGCUUCCAUUUGCAUGUCUUUACAUGUAAUGGAUAUCAGUCAACUCGGCAUUAGUAUAUUGAUGCUUGUCACUUUACUUCUUCAUUGUUGACAGCGUUGUGAAGUGCCUACUGAGUAAAAUUUCAAAAUGCAGUAACACUCCUUCACCCUAUCUAUAUGAGAUCAGUUAGAAAUUUGUAUAUCAGAUUUCUGCAAUAUCUCAAAAAUAAAGUAUUUGAGGACCUGGGUUCAUAGAGACUUUUUUUUUGUUAUGCUUUGAUACGUCUGUCCUGCAGGUUUGAUCGAGUAUUUCCAAAUCAUUCUAUAUAAACAAUCAACCCC